GAAGAACACACCUUAAGUGUUUAAAAAUAGGAGACAACUGUGCUAAAUAUCAUAUGAUCUGUCCAAAAGAAUAAAAGCAGUUUAGUAGCAUGGGAUAGUUUCAGAAAUACUAGAAAGUCUUUGAAUGAAUCUGUUUAAAAUAACAUAUGAGGCAGAUGUCGAUAAACUGACUAUUUCUCUUUAUAAUUGAUUUCUAUAAAUACUUUAUUUUUAAUAAUUGUCUUCUUUUCUGUCUGUAAUGUGUUUCAUUUUCACUGCUUUGAGCUUCUGAGCUUCUGCGGAGUGGUAGCACAGGUGAAUGUGAGUCAUGCUGUCGCUCCGAUGACUUUCAUAACGAGGUAACGGCCCCUCAGGGAUCUGCCUCUCCUACCUGCUGUCGGGUCGGAUCCCCUACCUGUCGCCGGAGGUAUCGCACCCAAACCCCCUGCUGAGCAGCAAACUGGGGGAACAGCCACAUCUGUCACUGAUGGAGCAGGACCUGGAGUACCUGUGUGAGGGUCUGGAGGGCCGCUCCUCUAACCCCGUGGCGGUGCUUUUUGAUUCGCUGCUGCUCCCUGACAGCGACUUUGGUCUGGACCACUCGUCUCCUCUGGACUGGAGAUACGAGCCUGAGAGAUCAGUCCCUCACCUGGUGCUGGGGAGGGGCCCGCCGGGGGGCGCCUGGCACGUACGUU